rnacentral:rRNA from 1 species
AUGAAGUUUUCGGAUGGAUUUAAAGCAGCUUAGUGGCGGACGGGUGAGUAACGCGUGGGUAACCUGCCUCACACGUGGGGGAUAACAGUUAGAAAUAGCUGCUAAUACCGCAUAAGCGCACAGUGCCACAUGGUACGGUGUAGAAAAACUCCGGUGGUAUGAGAUGGACCCGCGUCUGAUUAGCUAGUUGGCGGGGUAACGGCCCACCAAGGCGACGAUCAGUAGCCGACCUGAGAGGGUGACCGGCCACAUUGGGACUGAGACACGGCCCAAACUCC